ACCUCGGAUCGGGCAGCCUAUCAGGCGGCUCUCGGGCGUGGGUUGGCAUUCCAUUCAUUUGGGCUGCUGUCGUUGAAGAUUUUCACGUUCGAUCACGCGGACGGCGCAGGGCCACUUUAUCGCGACCCCUAGAGAAUCGUCGCCUGGAGAAAGAAUGAGUAGGCAGAAAUGGAGAUAAAGAGAAAGGGAGACAGAGGACGAAAAGGGCCUCUCUGGUUGGUGUCGGUGGCCUUCGACGAACCACGAGACGAAUUUCGAUUCGAUUGCGUGGGAGCGUGAUAAGGCUACCGGAGGAGGAAACCGAUUAUCGGGUUCACAGUGCCUCACCAGAUGUAACGUCGAACGCGGUACACGUGCACAAACGCACCAACACCGAGGUGGACGCAAGUGUACGCACCGGAAGCAAUACUCCCUGGCACUUGGCCGGGCAUUAGUGCAUGCACUGACUGAUAUGUAUAUGUGAACACAAAUAAGCUUGUACACUCCACCGCGUGGGCGUGUGCGUGUGAUUACCACGAAAAGCGGCCCUAGGUUGACAGGAAAUGGUUUGAGAUAAGAUAAUGACGUCCCUCGCCUCUCCUGCAUCCGGCUGCUUUCUUCGUCGCUUCGACGUUGGAAAAUGUUCCCUUGCCGCAGCCGGGACAGGUACCGAUUCAAUUUUCAAUCAAAUAAGUCUAAAAAAAUUUUUUUAUGUAACCACCAUGAUAAAAUAGGAAAAUUAGAAAUGAAUUGUAUAAUAAUUACGGUAGAACCUGCAAUCCUUAGAAACUUUCUGACGUAAAAAAAUAGCAGCGAAGAUUUUUUCGAUCAUGAGUCUAAAACAAAAUUUUCAAUAUAAGCUCCAAAAUAAAGUGAACAAAAUGGUGGAUGGAGUGUAAUGAAAAUGGAACCUCGGACGCACGAAAAUAGCCAUCCGACUCUUUGCGAGGAUUUUUCAAAAUAUACAAGAGGAAUAGCAGUGUAAACGAACCAGGCCUCCACUAUGAAUAAUCGCAUCCUGUCUCAGUAACUAAGCAAAAAAGAAAAGAAGGCUUAAACAUAUAUAAACAUCUGAGGUCGGCAUUUUAUAAUAGUAAUAACGAUAAUAUCUCCCAGUUCAACUUAUUUAAUGUUUGCUGUAAUUAGUUAUGCAAACAUUGAUCGAUGGUAUUGUGCGAACGAUCACGUUUCAUGGAUCAUCACUGCAUAUUUAUAGGUUAGAGACGUAGAUGGUUUCCCGCGCUUUCCAUUCUAAGGGAAAUUGGUAGACGGGAGACCAAUUCUCUGAAUGACUCUCAAAACUGGUGCGCCCACAUUCCUCCAGCCACACAAGAUUCGAGGUUCUGGCAUGUUCACUAGCCUGUAAAACUGCUUGCGGGAUCUUCGUUCCCCCCUCUUUAUGCCUACGGAUCGAAUAAACGACAUACAGUUAACAAAAGGUACCAUAAACGUAUCGAUACAUGUAUAUAAGUACGUACAAUGAUUACAAAAGGUUUUACAUUUCAUUGUCAUAAUAUAAAAUUUCUGUAAUCAUAGAAGAGUACAAAUUUAAUUUACUUAGACAUAAUUAAUCACCAUGUAAAUGUUACAAUAAAUAGAAUAGUAUACAAAUACUUUGUUGAUUAUAUUGAUUAUUAAAAAAAAGAAAACAAUUAUAUCGGUUAGGGUAUAUCUAACAUAUGACAUUCGCUUUACUUUGGUUCCCGAAAUAUUCGUAAAAAUAUUUUUGAUACUUUUUAUUUUGGUAUAGUUUAUGUUUGGAUUAGAAUUGAGUUAGGUUUAUACACUAUAGUAACCGUAAACACUUUUUGUAGUCACUGUAUGUAUUUUUCACAUAUAGAUCAAUCAACACCAAAAAUAAAUUAUACCUGCCGAAUUCUUUUGUAAUUCAUUUUCACAUAAUUCAUCUUGAUUCUUAGACAUGGCCUUUUAUCCGUCAAUUUUUCUUAAGAUUUGGCAGCAAGGUUUUAUAGGAUUACAUGUCAUAUGUAUUGAUUGACUGAUAUGUCAAGCAGAAUGCAAUUAUACAAUCAGAGGUGGCGCUAAUCAGGCCAUCUUUAUCAAUAUUGUUCUCCCGCGUUUUUUUCUUUUUUUUCGUUAAUUGCUUUUAAGGACAAUGAUAGCCGUAGAUUAAUUUUUCGAUAAUUUAAGAAUAUUUUUUCAGUUAUGGAUAUAUUUGAUUAAUUAUUAAUUAUUUACUAUCGUAAAUUUAAAUAAAGGGGGCGCUGAGAGAUUUUUUCCCCCAUUUUCACUUACUUUCCGUUUCCGAUGCAAUUAAUCGAUUUCACAACUACAAUUUUAUUUUUUCUAGUAUUUUUAAUGCAUUAAAUUAAAAUUUGCAUGCUUAUGUAUUAGUUAUGUUAAAAGUGAAUAGAUUCAACUAAAAUUGAAUAUUAGGGGAAAGGCAUUACUUUUUGUAGUAGUCAUUUCCGUCUCUCCGUUCCCUGUUUCUUGGAGAAGAAAUGGUCCUCGAGCUAGUCCCGGUUUCUUGCAAAAAAGUUGGUACAUUCGUCGUUGAAAUCGCAGUAGUGAAUAUAAUUUUGUAAUUUGACCGUCAAAGUGAUGUUUGAAGUGAUUAUCGUUUAUGUCAUAGCCUUUCAUUCUUAGCAAGUUAUUAGUAUCAAAAGUACUUCAGAAUAAGGCCUUCUUCUUAUUUGCAAUUUUUCAAAAUGUUUUGUAACCUAUACAACACGCUAGUUACCGUAAAUCAAUCGUCUAUCAUUUUGUUCGUUAUCGAUACGCAAUUUGCGAUUGAAAUACUUGGAAAAAGUAAAAGAAGGCGUAAAUUCUCAGGAAUUUUGUGGAAUGUGCUCAAGUGGCGAACGAUUUGAAACUGGUAGAGUAAUUCUAUUUAUUCUAUGGGUGUACGAAAGAUUGAUUCAGGUUUCAUCUUGAAUUCAACCCUUAAGAGUUUGGUAAGAGUGAUCUAGAAUUUCCCAUUGUCUCUGCAUACGAAUUUUAAAAAUAGCGUAAUAUUUUAAACUCUACUUUUUUAUCCGAUAUUUAAAGCUAUUGUAACACGUUAUUUUAUCCAAUAAUUAAAUUAACCGAGAAGUUCUCGCAAAUUCAUAUUUUUGCCUUAACUAUUAAAUAUUAUACGGAAUGUGUACUAUAUUUUUGAUAUUUCAUAUAUUUUCAUAUAUUACGUGCAUUCUAUGCAUUUUUCAUUUACAAAUUUCGCGUAACCGUAUAAAAAUCCGCAGUUUAAUUAUAAGAUAUGUAUUCGACCUAAUAUAGGACAUUUGGUUAGUCAGGGGUUAUAGAAAAGUGUAAAAUUUGAAAGAUCACAUUUUUAUUCAAGAACAAAAUAAUUUAAUUUAUCGACAGCUAAGUGAGAUCUUUGAAUCUUAAAAUUGCAUUCAGAACAGUUUUAUUGCAUCAAAUUUUCAUGAAUUGUUUGCUUAAAUAGCAGAGGGAGUGCUAUAUCAGUCAACUCGAAUACCUUAUUUAAGGACAUUUAUUGCUUCUAUUUUCAUCACUCGAUCGAUAACAAUGAGAUUCAAAAAUAUUCCGCGUCUUUUUUAAUGUUUAUACACUUUCUAAACGAAAUGCAUAUUACAAAAUGUACCAAAAUAUAGGAUAUGUAUAUGUUUAAACAAAGUGCCAAUCUUACAACAACAAAUUAAUGGAAAAUAUCGAAAAUGGAUGGAUUUUAGAAUUCCAUAAGUAUGGUUCAAAUGCAUCAAUAUAUCGAAAUACGAUCACACAGAUCUUCAAAUAUCGACCGAGCGGUUACGCAAUUAUCGACUCAUCCAAGGAAUAAAAAUCAUCCAUCAGUUUCAGUUAAAAUAAUAUCUGUCUAAAAUAAUAUUAAAGUAUUAUUGAGCCAUCGAGGACCAUAACAAUUUAGAUUUACUAUUUAAUAUUUUCGAAUUUUUCAUUUAAUUUAAUUUAAUUUUAUUAAUCUUUAGAUUUUAUAUCUUUAUAUCUGAAUCUUAAAUUUUAUAGUUAUCCAUUAUAGGCAUCUAUGAUGCUAUUGAUACUUUUAACUAAAGACAUUUUAUAGAAAUUUUGUAGAAAAUUUUAAUAUUUCCAAUAUUUCAGUAUUAUGACAAACAAUAUUUUUGAGAUUAUGAAGAGGAUUAAUCAAUUAUGUAGCUAUAAAAAUAUAAUAUACGACAUUGAUUAAUAAUAUCACCAUUCUCUUUUACGUUAAAAAAUAUCUUCCUUUAUAUUCUAUGCUAGUUAAAACGAAGUAUGUCAUUCUUUGGGAAGAUAAUAAGCGGAGAAAUUGUUGAAAUUAAGAAGAAUUACAAUUAAUUAUAAAGUACAGAAUACAACGUUAACAUCAACAUUCUCUUUGUCAUUAAAAAAUAUCUUUUUUUUAUUUUAUAUGUGUCAAAACAAUAUAUGUAAUUCUUUGCGAAGAUAAUAAGGGAGGAAGUUUAAUUAGCGGCUUUCGCUAGAGGAUUCAAGAAUACUUGUCCGUGUAUGGUAGCUUGUUGUAUACAAGUAACGUGCUAAUAUAGAAUGCGCCGGCAUACGUUGGUAGGUGGCGAAGUAAAAUAAUCAAUGAAGAGGCGAACGGGAUCAGGAGGGAGAAAGCGAAAAGAGCUUUAUACAUUCGCGCCCACGCGGGCCCACGGGUUCUAGUUAUUAUCCCGCGCUGUUUUUGUUCUUCCUGCCGGUAGAGAGACCUUGCCAGGAAUUGGAACGAUGCGAUCGGAGAGAAGAAAAUAUCUGAAGGCUUUUUUUUAAAUCUAUGAAUCAUCGACGAAUAAAAAAUAUUUGAGCGCUCUUUUUACGAGAUACCGUUCAUAUUUGGAAUUACAAUUUUACUUAUAAUUUUCAAUAAUUGAACAAUUUAUUAAACUAAAAUUGUUUUUCUGACAUCCUACGAUUAUUUUGGGCAAUCGUUAUGAAUGACUGGGAAUAACUCAGUGCCACAAGAGUAGGAAAAAUGAAUGCACAUAGUAUGACCGUAGUCUCAAUGAAUCAAGGUCCGAUGUACGCACAUAGAACGCUAGACAGUGAGUGGUUCAUUGAUUUUGAGGUGUAACGACGCUACGCUGAAGUUUAACGUUCGCGAAACAAGAACGUGAUUCUGCUCUCCUGCGAUCUUCUCCUAACGAGCCCACGCUUUUUCCUGGAAUUCUGCUCACCCGACUUACAACCACUAGUUAAUUACUUUCAUCGACGGAAGUCGGCAUUUACGACGAUUGCCCUGCUGCCAAUUUGUACUAAUUCGGUGAACGAACCGGCGGCUCUCGAAACUUGCGCAGGGUGCUCGGGAUAUGUCGACAUUAUUAUAAGAAGUAAAAAAGUGUAUUUUAAUUGUUACAUACAGAUUUAUAUGAUAACUGGAAUAUUGCAGAUUAAUUAAUUUAUUAGAUAGAAAUUUUAUGUGAUCUAUAAAAUGCGUGGGAUUGAUCAAAUUGGAGAAUUGUUGGGAAAUAUUAAAUUUUCGUAUUAUAUACAUACAAUACAUACAUAAAAAGUGCAAUAUAACGCGUAUCUGGUGUUCGAAGAUAAACGUCAUCCGUCUCCUCAGCUCGUGAAGUCAAUUGCAGAGUCAAACACUUGUGAUAUCUGAGAUAUCUUUAUUGACUUCGAUAAGGAGAGAGAAUAAGAAUCAUCGCGAUAAGAGUUUAAGCUGAAUGGAAAAUAAUCAAUGAGGAAAGAUAAGUCUAUUACAUGAGCGGUCCGAUAAAUUUAAUUCGAUUUAACUAAUUAGUAGAUGCUAACUAUUUUCUUCCGGAAUCGGGUUUGGAAUAUACAUUACGCUAUUUGCUGAUAGAUAUAUUCGUCCGGGAUGGAAUAUCGACUUUAGUUGUCUAAACGUUUAUUGAUGAUAAAUUUGAAGAUUCGCUUUUAUAUAAUUUGACCUGAAAGGUAUUGUUUGUCGAUUUCUGAAAUAUUCCUGUUAGUAAAUUAUUCUACAAUUAUCUGGAAAUAAUUUGGAUGAUAAAUUAGUGAUAGCCGUAAGUUUUGAAAAUAACUUUUAAUAAAAUAAAAAUUAUACUUAUCGAUCGAACUUGGCCGAUAUUCUCAAAGUUGUAGAUGGAGCUUGUGAUCAAGUUUCCAUGUAACAACCGACUGAGCUCAUUCUCCAUAUUAGUCCAUUAUUUUCAGCGUAGAUAUUUAAAAUUUGAAAAGGAAGGAAAAUGGAAAUUCAAAUAAUAGAAAUUAAUCAACUCAGGCUAAAGUUUUAAUUAAUUUUUUCUUUUUUAUUUUAUGAAGAUUUUCUCGGUUGAUUUGAUUAUAGCGUUACGAAGUACAUACAGAUUAUUUUAAAGCAUUUGGAGGAGAGACUGCAAGAUGUAUCGGUUUACUAGGCUUUCGAAUUUCGUGGCUCAAGUCUAUUUUGCGAGUUUCUAAAGCCUAUUGUUUUAAAAAGUCGCAAUAAUAUAGACAAAGAUCAAAGCCUAUGAGCAUGACAUAGUAUAAAAUAUAUGUAUUUGAUGAUGAAGUGAAUAAUUAUAUUCCUUACUGAUAUCUAUUAUUGUACUGAUAGCAGUGUAACGUUAAAAGAAUACUCUGCUAUUUGUUAAUAUUAAUAAAAUACAUUUAUGUAAGAA